UACGGGGGGUGCAAGCGUUGUCCGGAAUUAUUGGGCGUAAAGCGUUCGUAGGCGGUACAUUAAGUCUGGUGUUAAAAACUUGGGCUCAACUCAGGAGAGGCAUUGGAUACUGGUGAACUAGAAUGCGGUAGAGGUUAAGGGAAUUCCUGGUGUAGCGGUGAAAUGCGUAGAUAUCAGGAGGAACACCGGUGGCGAAAGCGCUUAACCGGGCCGAAAUUGACGCUGAGGAACGAAAGCCGGGGGAGCAAAU
rnacentral:rRNA from 1 species